AGUGAACGCUGGCGGCAGGCCUAACACAUGCAAGUCGAGCGGCAGCGCGGGGGCAACCCUGGCGGCGAGCGGCGGACGGGUGAGGAAUGCAUCGGAAUCUACCUCGUUGUGGGGGAUAACCUCGGGAAACCGGGACUAAUACCGCAUACGACCUACGGGUGAAAGUGGGGGACCUUCGGGCCUCACGCGAUGAGAUGAGCCGAUGCCGGAUUAGCUAGUUGGCGGGGUAAAGGCCCACCAAGGCGACGAUCCGUAGCUGGUCUGAGAGGAUGAUCAGCCACACUGGAACUGAGACACGGUCCAGACUCCUACGGGAGGCAGCAGUGGGGAAUAUUGGACAAUGGGCGCAAGCCUGAUCCAGCCAUGCCGCGUGUGUGAAGAAGGCCUUCGGGUUGUAAAGCACUUUUGUUGGGGAAGAAACCGGUCGGAUUAAUACUUCGGCUGAAUGACGGUACCCAAAGAAUAAGCAACCGGCUAACUUCGUGCCAGCAGCCGCGGUAAUAGU
rnacentral:rRNA from 1 species